UACGAAGGGGGCUAGCGUUGCUCGGAAUGACUGGGCGUAAAGGGCGCGUAGGCGGUGGACACAGUCAGGCGUGAAAUUCCUGGGCUCAACCUGGGGGCUGCGUUUGAUACGUGUUUGCUAGAGUGGGGAAGAGGGUCGUGGAAUUCCCAGUGUAGAGGUGAAAUUCGUAGAUAUUGGGAAGAACACCGGUGGCGAAGGCGGCUCUCUGGACCACAACUGACGCUGAGGCGCGAAAGCUAGGGGAGCAAACAGG
rnacentral:rRNA from 1 species